rnacentral:snoRNA from 1 species
AUUGCACUAGGUAUCUCCACGAUAAAUUAUAUAUUAAUCGUGGUCGUUUUUUCGGUGCUAUAACAGAAAGCUCACCCAUUCGAAAGCACAAAAUCCUUUCUGCUUUCGUCAGUUACGAGCCCUACAUUUU